GGCCACAUCUCAUUGAAACACAGGUUCUCGUAUGAUCAUCGAAGUUAAGCAAACUUGAGCUCGGUCAGUAGCUAGAUGACUGACCGUUUGGGACUACCAGGAGCUGUAA